rnacentral:rRNA from 1 species
GACGAACGCUGGCGGCGUGCUUAACACAUGCAAGUCGAACGGAAAGGCCCUGCUUUUGUGUGGUGCUCGAGUGGCGAGCGGGAGAGUAACAUGUGAGUAACCUGCCCUUGACUUUGGGAUAACUUAAGGAAACUGGGGCUAAUACCGGAUAGGAGCUCCUGCUGCAUGGUGAGGGUUGGAAAGUGUCGGCGGUUGGGGAUGUACGCGGGGUUGGUCAGCUUGUUGGUGGGGUAGUGGCUUACCAAGGCUUUGACGGGUAGCCGGCCCGGGAGGGUGGCCAGCCACAUUAGGCCUGAGGUAGGGCCCAGACUGGUACAUGAGGCAGCAGGGGGGAAUAUUUCACAAUGGGCGGAAGCGUGAGGCAGCGACGCCGCGUGCGUGAUGACGGCCUUCGGGUGGUAAACCGCUUUCGCUUGUGACGAAGCGUGUGUGACGGUAAUGGGUAAAGAAGCACCGGCUAACUACGUG